CUUUACCCAGCGAGCACAAUGAAGUUAUACCUGAUCGUUCUGCUGUCCUUAAUCACCAUCGCAGUUCCAGUGGGGGAAUGCGACAAAGAAAAGGAGGUCGAUGAUCACAAACAAUCAAACGUGAUUUGCUCAGGACAAAUUACUGCAGCAGUACAUGAUGAUGUCGUUCUUC